UCUGACGUGCAUGCGAAGUAGAGGGUCUGCAUAUCCAGGCCUCCACGAAAGUUUAUAUCAGAUAAUUUAAGAUUUGAUUCCUGGUUCUGCUAUGAUUUAGGUAAAGAUUUGAUCCUUAAAUAAGUAGAACAUUAGAAAAAACUUUUAGAUGCAACCUGGGCAUUCUGGAGGAAAAUUAUUUUCUUCCCUUCAAUAACAGUC
rnacentral:lncRNA from 1 species